rfam:Burkholderia glathei PML1(12) contig00247, whole genome shotgun sequence.
CAAGUCCAUUACGAUGAAGGAGCAGCGAACCACAGUUCGGCUGCGAACCGUUCGUAGAUCACCACGAGGUGAUUUGCGAAGCGUCGGUAGCGGAACGUGGGGCCAGCCAUUGCGCCGGGAUCGUUGUGUUAUCCCGGGUGCCAACGCGGUUCAGAACG